CGACGACGACGAGAAGAGGAACCCACGCACGCCGUGGUGGUACCGCGAUUCCGGUGGGACGAAGCUGCCGGAGGUGCUCAUGCGGGCCGUUUGCAUCCACCCCCUCGACAUGUGGUGGUGGACGAUGGAUAGGUCUCGCCAACGGCAUCCCGAUGCGCGGCCGUGUCGACGAUGGUGGUUAGAGCAGCCGCGCGCUUGGUGAAGCCGUAGUGUUUUUGGGCCGGAGUUGUUGCUCGGGUGUGCCGGAGGGAGAUGCUCGUACGCGCCAGCAAGAGCCCGCCAUAGGUGUGGACCCUACACCUUCCGUCGCAUCCCCACGUCUCCUCCGCCUACAGCCUACUCCGUAACACGGCGAAGGAGCUCGUGUGGGUGGAUGCUCCGGCGGCAUGCCCGGAGACAGCGGGCGGAGGAGCUCGUGCGUGCCUGCCCUGACAGAGAGGAGCGGAAGAUGCUCCUGGAGUGGGAGCACAACGCUCUCAAGCGCUCGUGCUCCGGCGGCUCCGGCGACGUACAAGGAGCUGCAUGAGCGCAGAGAGGAGCUUAUCUUUUGUUAGAUAUGUUUCAUGCCUCCUCGAGCUCGGCCACCCGUGGCUACGCACUGCUAAGGCAUUGGAUCCCUUCCGGCAG